UGAGAGUCCAGGCCCGGGGCAGGUUGUUCAGAAUAGGUCAGAACGAACUUGAAAUGAAAGUGAAAUGAUGCCAAGCUAUUCUGCUAUACUAACGCCAAGUCUGCUUCUCACCUAGUUUUGAACAACCGGGCACUGGGUGUAUUUUCUAAUUUGAUUUAGAUUUAGCAGGAAACUCCGAGUUAUGGCCAAGUCACCACCGUCCUUGUGCAUCCUCUUUCUUCUGGUUUUCACGUACUGGCUCCCAGUAUUGUGUCGGAGUCUACCGAACAGGAAAGCUGAUUGGAAGGUUCAGCAAGGUGCCAUCCAUGAGAGUCAGCAUGGUUUAAUUUCACUAACUAAAGAAAAUCAGGGGUACGUCCAUUUAGAACGGAACACCUCCAGGCGGCUGCGAAAACGUAAUGCUGAUGAUGUCACAGGAACCCGGCC